UAGAUACCCUGGUAGUCCACGCCGUAAACGAUGAGUGCUAGGUGUUAGGGGUUUCGACGCCCUUAGUGCCGAAGUUAACACAUUAAGCACUCCGCCUGGGGAGUACGACCGCAAGGUUGAAACUCAAAGGAAUUGACGGGGGCCCGCACAAGCAGUGGAGCAUGUGGUUUAAUUCGAAGCAACGCGAAGAACCUUACCAGGUCUUGACAUCCUUUGACCACCCUAGAGAUAGGGCUUCCCCCUUCGGGGG
rnacentral:rRNA from 1 species